rnacentral:rRNA from 1 species
UACGUAGGGUGCAAGCGUUAAUCGGAAUUACUGGGCGUAAAGCGUACGCAGGCGGCUUUGCAAGACAGGUGUGAAAUCCCCGGGCUCAACCUGGGAAUGGCAUUUGGGACUGCAAGGCUAGAGUGUGGCAGAGGGGGGUGGAAUUCCGCGUGUAGCAGUGAAAUGCGUAGAGAUGCGGAGGAACACCGAUGGCGAAGGCAGCCCCCUGGGUUGACACUGACACUCAUGCACGAAAGCGUGGGGAGCAAACAGG